rnacentral:lncRNA from 1 species
GCGUGACGAAAAUAAUUAUCUGGAAAUCCAUAACAUAAUAAAAUAAUAAAUAAAUAAAAAGUCAAACAAAACGAAAAGCAGGGGUGACUUGGUCGGUGCGGCGUGGAACGGUGGAACUGUGGAAGGAACUGCGGAAGGAACUGUACACCAACGUUAAUAAAACAGUGUCUAAAAAGUUGGGAUUCUACAGCUAAUUAACAAACCUUAAACCCAUACUAAUCCGCGUCGCCUACUUUCCCACCUCCCCCUUCAAAUAAAUUAAAUCAAACAUGAACACCUACGACUAAAUAAUAAUAAUAAUAAUAAUAAUAAAAUAAUGAUGAGACCAUUAUUCAGUUUGAACGCAUCCUAAUCUUUACUGCCUCGUCUUGAAUGUUGAAUCUUUCUCACCUUUCUCCAUUUCCAUGGUCUUCCUUCUUCCUUCUUCUUCUUCACCUUUGAACGCCGUGAAUUUUCCACCAUCCCGCGUCCGCUAAUUUC